UACGAACCGUACAAACGUUAUUCGGAAUCACUGGGCUUAAAGGGUGCGUAGGCGGCCAUGUAAGUCAGACGUGAAAUCCCUCGGCUUAACCGGGGAACUGCGUCUGAUACUGGAUGGCUUGAAUCCGGGAGAGGGAUGCGGAAUUCCAGGUGUAGCGGUGAAAUGUGUAGAUAUCUGGAGGAACACCCGUGGCGAAGGCGGCUCUCUGGGACGGUACUGACGCUGAGACGCGAAAGCGUGGGGAGCGAACAGG
rnacentral:rRNA from 1 species